UCCAAGGUUGCCCAGCCAGGUCAAAGGCGAUAGGUUGAGGACCCAGUCUCGUAGGAGUUCGUGCGUUCAAAUCGCACCUCUCGCA
rnacentral:tRNA from 1 species